rnacentral:lncRNA from 1 species
GGGUGUGAGAUAAAAUGAUUAUGUUUUUAAUUGAUUUGCUUUAUAAACAGAAGUUUCUAUUAGAGUUAAUAAUCUUGGACAGCAAAAGUGGCUUUUUUCUUUUUUUGAAGUGAUCUUGAUCUACUGUGUACAGAAAGUUUUCACAGGUAUUUAGGAUCAUUAUUGUAUCUUCAUAUCUGGCAUGCAUUUUCAACCUAUUACAGAUUCUCUUUUGGGGGAUGAUUAUAUUUCCUUGAAUCUUGGUCGCUGAAAAAAACUGCGCUUAUGUGAUAAAACAUUGAGGCCAAUGAUUCUCAAAACAUGUUUAACUGUUUUGUUCAUUCACUCAUUACGUGUGCAGCCUUUUUCUUGCACGUUUUGACAUCAAAAGAAU